rnacentral:tRNA from 1 species
UCCCUGGUGGUCCAGUGGUUAAGACUUUGUGCUUCCAAUGCAGGGGUGCAGAUUCGAUCCCUGGUUAGGGAA